UAUAUCUUUUUUGUGCCCCCUACCACCACCAAAAAAACCUCGAAACCCCAUAAGGCUAGGAUUUUGAAUUUAUAGAUUUUAACAGCUAUCCACACAAAACAAAUGUCUUCUUUGUAAAGGUAAACUAGGAGCAAGUUUCUGGUUUGUGUUUUGUUUUGUUUUGUUUUUUUAAAUGAAGAAAGAUAUGUCUGUGAACCUGCUAUACACACAGUGGGUUGACUGAGUAGCAGCUACCUGACCACUUUCUGAGAUCCUUAGGCUCGUCCUUAGUGGUGGGGUGAGGCUCAGAGGUUCCUUGGUAAUGAUUUAUCUUGAUUCAUAUUUCUUCUGAUUUUCCUAUUAGUCUUGGUUCCACCCAUCCAUAGUGCUUCUAAAGGGCAGAGAACUGGAGCACCCCAAAUUAGGCUUAGUUCUAUCCAUCAUGCAUGGAUGUCUCAGCAGCUCUGUGUGACAGGAAGUCCACUGAGAUUUAUCAGAGACUUUACCAGAAAGACCUGGUACUUGACUCUUUGUAGAAAAAUAAUCGUCAGCGACGUGUUGUGUCUGUGUGGGACAAAUUGUGCAUGGACACCUUUAUAUAGAAUGGGGUCAGGAGACUGGCAAGAGGAGCUCUCCUUACCAGUUGCAGACCCAACUGGAAGAGGUAAACCUUGUACAUGGAUACUACUUUAACUACUAUUUUGCUAUCCCAGCCUGAGGAAGGAUGAUUUCUCUUCUGCCCUAGCAACAGCCCAGCCAUUGAGAAACACUCACAACUCAGCCAAUGAGAAGCCACUAUACUUCUAGCUCCCAUUCUACUCCAGUGGACUUGUUUAUAACAACCUUCCCAACUUACUUUCCACUAUAAAAGAGGAUCCCCCUCCUUUGUUGCUGGACUUGUUUAUGGUUUUAGUCAUAGCUUGCCCCAGAUUGUAAGUCUCUGCUCUUCUCAAAAAAAAACCAAAAAACAAAAAAAAAAAAACACCAUUUUUUUCGCUGGUAAAAUGACCAGCAGUGUUAUUCCUAAAGUUAGCAUAUCUCAAAGUAAGAAGAAAUUAUUCCUUUUCCACCCCAGUUUCAUCAAUGCCUUCUGUAGUCAUCAGACUCAUCAGUACCAAAACCCUAGACUCUUGCCCCCAUCUCCGUUGGAAGCCUGUGAUAUUGCAUUGUGUAAAUCAAUCAUCCAGGGAUCUUCAAAACUGCAAGCUAAGUUACAGGUGCAUGCCACACAAGUCUGUUUCUACCAGCCAAGUGGUUAAAAACUUAGAAUGCUUGGUUCAACAUUUGCUUUCCAAAAAUUCUUCCUCUUCUUCCCACAUUUCCUUUGUUGGAAAUAAUUCAUUAUUGGAAAUUUCAUUGAUUUGUAUUUGUAUGUAAACUUGGUUUGGUAAGUGGGGCUCAGAAAAUUAUCAAUAAAGAAAAACAGCUCAUUUGAAGGUACCCUCCUUCCACACGGUGCUAAUCUGCACGCGUCUUACUGUUACCACAAGAGCGGGUGGCACUUGGUUCGGGUGAAAUCAGAGGGUGGACUGAGCCGCUUGUGUCUGACAAAGCAGCAGACGUCUGUGCCCGUGCAAGGUGCUCUCUGAGCUGCCUUUGUCCUCUGCCUUAAUCAGUCCGUUUAGCCCCCAGGUGGCUAAUUCCUAAGAGGUAGACUCCAUGGGCCUGGACACACUCCCCACAACUCGAAUUGCCUCGUGUGUGAUCCCACAUAGCAGACGUCUUGAUGAUGGCCCCGCUGUGCUUUUUCUCCUAGUGCACCCGCUCUGGGAGAGCGUGGACCUGGUCCCGGCGGGCGAGCGCCAGUCGCCCAUCAACAUCCGGUGGAGGGACAGUGUGUAUGAUCCUGGCUUAAAACCGCUCACCAUCUCUUACGACCCGACCACCUGCCUCCACGUCUGGAAUAACGGGUACUCCUUCCUCGUGGAAUUUGAAGAUUCUACAGAUAAAUCCGCUGCACUCGGAGCAUCAGAAUGCAGUCACAUUUCAAAGCGUUGAGGAGGCAGCAACUGGAGGAAGGUGGUUUCAUUACGAUAGGAAUAUUUUUAAAGAGGUCUCUGAUGGCAACGCUGUCCUCUCCAUUUUUCAGAUGAAGUGAAGCUCGAUGAAGUUAAGUGCUCUCCUGCCACGUCAUGCAGUUAUCCGCUGGAGAAGUCAACGGCAAAGCUGUGGACCACACUCUGUGUGGCGCCUGUCAGCUCCUGUAGCUUCAGCAGGUGCAGACCUUCCCUGGAGGCUGAGUGUUUUCAGGGUACCAGGAUUUGUUUGAAUCAGCUACACAUCACAAAGAGCUGCAGAAAUUGGUGGAUACUUUGCCAUCAAUCAAGCAUAAGGACACCCUUGUGGAAUUUGGGUCAUUUGAUCCUUCCUGCCUGAUGCCCGCCUGCCCAGAUUACUGGACCUACUCGGGGUCCCUGACUACCCCGCCCCUCUCCGAGUCUGUCACCUGGAUCAUUAAGAAGCAGCCCGUAGAGAUUGAUCAUGAUCAGGUAUGUUCUUUCCACCUUUCUGUAUGAGGACAUGCUAGUCUGCCCCUUUAACACAAGGCUGGGCUCAAACUUUGGCAUCGGUUUUGAACAUCUUGUAAUGCUUCUACAUUUUUAUUAAAAUUUGCUAACAUCUUGUCUCAGUUUGGACAUGAAUUUGGAGAUACUUCAAAUUAACUGGAGAGAGGAGUUAAAACAUAGAAGAGCAUAAGCUUUUUGCUUUCAUUUUGGACAAUAUCCUGUCUUUUACCAUAUAUACAUUGUGUAGAAUCUCUGUAAAACUUAAGACUUUUAAAUGGAAGGCAAAUACCAUAUGAUUUCACUCCUAUGUGGAAUUUACAAAACACAACAGAUGAACAUAGGGGAAGGGAAGGAAAAAAUAAGAUAAAAAGAGAGAGGGAGCAAACCAUAAGAGACUUCUAAAGACAGAGAACAAACUGAGGAUUGCUGGAGGGAUGGUGGGUGGAGGGAUGGGCCGAAUGGGUGAUGGGCAUUAAGGAGGGCACUCGUUGGGAUGAGCACUGGGUGUCAUACGUAAGUGCUGGGUCACUUGGUUCUACUCCUGAAACCAAUACUAUACUGUAUGUUAACUAACUUGAAUUUAAAGAAAUAAAUUUUAAAAACUAAAUGAAUGGAAAAAUGAAGGCUGGAAAUGACUGUGUUCAAAACCCUUUGAUUUUCUUUUCUUUAUUAUUGUAGUGGACACGCAAUGUUACAUUAGUUUCAGGCGUACAGCAUGGUGAUUUGACAACUCCAUAUGUAUGCUGUGCUCACCACAAGUGUAGUCGCCAUCUGUCAUCAUACAACUCUAUUACACUACCAUUAACUGUUUUCCCUGUGUUUUGUUUUUUUUUUUUUACCUUUCAAUCCCCAUGGCUUAACUAAUUUCCUUAAUUACUAAUUUUCCCCAUGACAUUACUAGAAUCCUAUACCUCCCUCUCCCUUUGACCCAUUUUUCCCAUUCCCCCCAAUACUCCCCUCCCCUCUGGCAACCUUCAUACAUACUUUGUUCUCUGUAUUUAUGCAAAAACCCUUAAUUUUCUUAAGAGAAGCUUGCUGUGGAAUUUCAAGGUAAAGAUAGAACCCGACAAUGUCUAUACAGAAAUUUUACUCAGUCAAAAAUUUUGACUUGGUAUUUGUUUUCGUUUAGAAUCUAAGUUUAAGUGGUGGGUACUAUAUGAACACGCAAAAUGUUGUUUAAUUUGUAAGUGAAUUAAACAGUAAUAAUAAUUGCUUUUAUUUGUUUGUUUUGGAAUUUAAUUAAUUAAAAACUUUUUACAAGGACAAAAGCUUCCAAGUUCUUUUUUGUGAAGCCAAGAUAACAGUGAAACCAAAACCCACCAAAGAUUGGAUACCUCCCAAAAAGUAAAUACUAGGCCAGUAUCUCUCAAGAAUAUUUAGAAAAAAAGAAAGCUUAAUUAUUAGAAACAGAAUCUACCAGUACAUCAGAAGAAAUAUACACUUUGUCCACAUAAGAUUUUUUUCUGAAAUGUCAGUAUUAGGAAUGAUAUAUUAUGAUUAAUAGACUUCAUCCUGUAAGCAAAGCUAAAGGGAAGACUCAUAUUUCAUUUUCAUAAAUUCCUAAAACUCAAAAUUGAUCAUGUAUUUUUUGUAAAAAUUUUUAUUGAAAUGAGAAUUCCCUAAGUUGAUAAAGUAGAUUAAUGUCAGCUCAGAAGUAAAUAGUAUGCCUAGUAUGGAAAGGAUAUCUAC